GCGGAGAUAGUUCAGUUGGAAGAACGUCAGAUUCCAAACCUGAUUGUCGGGGGGGGGGUCGAGUCCUUCUCUUCGCG
rnacentral:tRNA from 1 species